UACGUAGGGUGCAAGCGUUGUCCGGAAUUAUUGGGCGUAAAGGGCUCGUAGGCGGUUUGUCGCGUCGGGAGUGAAAACCCGGGGCUCAACCCCGGGCCUGCAUUCGAUACGGGCAGACUAGAGUUCGGUAGGGGAGUCUGGAAUUCCUGGUGUAGCGGUGAAAUGCGCAGAUAUCAGGAGGAACACCGGUGGCGAAGGCGGGACUCUGGGCCGAUACUGACGCUGAGGAGCGAAAGCGUGGGGAGCAAACAGG
rnacentral:rRNA from 1 species